rnacentral:piRNA from 1 species
GGUUAGCUUUGGGACUGGAAGAUGAG